rnacentral:rRNA from 1 species
UACGUAGGUGGCAAGCGUUGUCCGGAUUUAUUGGGUUUAAAGGGUGCGUAGGCGGCCCUGUAAGUCAGUGCUGAAAUAUCCCAGCUUAACUGGGAGGGUGGCAUUGAUACUGCGGGGCUAGAGUACAGAUGAGGUAGGCGGAAUUGACGGUGUAGCGGUGAAAUGCUUAGAUAUGACAUAGAACACCAAUUGCGAAGGCAGCUGGCUACACAAAUAUUGACACUGAGGCACGAAAGCGUGGGGAUCAAACAGG